GAUGAACGCUGGCGGCGUGCCUAAUACAUGCAAGUCGAGCGAACGGACGAGAAGCUUGCUUCUCUGAUGUUAGCGGCGGACGGGUGAGUAACACGUGGAUAACCUACCUAUAAGGCUGGGAUAACUUCGGGAAACCGGAGCUAAUACCGGAUAAUAUUUUGAACCGCAUGGUUCAAAAGUGAAAGACGGUCUUGCUGUCACUUAUAGAUGGAUCCGCGCUGCAUUAGCUAGUUGGUAAGGUAACGGCUUACCAAGGCAACGAGUCAUAGCCGACCUGAGAGGGUGAUCGGCCACACUGGAACUGAGACACGGUCCAGACUCCUACGGGAGGCAGCAGUAGGGAAUCUUCCGCAAUGGGCGAAAGCCUGACGGAGCAACGCCGCGUGAGUGAUGAAGGUCUUCGGAUCGUAAAACUCUGUUAUUAGGGAAGAACAUAUGUGUAAGUAACUGUGCACAUCUUGACGGUACCUAAUCAGAAAGCCACGGCUAACUACGUG
rnacentral:rRNA from 1 species